GGAAGGGUGCUUGAGAGGCUGAAAAGAGCCGCCUGCUAAGCGGUUGAGGGCCUAAUCGUCCUCCGUGGGUUCGAAUCCCACCCCUUCC
rnacentral:tRNA from 1 species